UACAGGGGGGGCAAGCGUUGUUCGGAAUUACUGGGCGUAAAGGGCUCGUAGGCGGCCAACUAAGUCAGAUGUGAAAUCCCCAGGCUUAACCUGGGAACUGCAUCUGAUACUGGAUGGCUUGAAUCCGGGAGAGGGAUGCAGAAUUCCAGGUGUAGCGGUGAAAUGCGUAGAUAUCUGGAGGAAUACCGGUGGCGAAGGCGGCAUCCUGGACCGGCAUUGACGCUGAGGAGCGAAAGCUAGGGGAGCAAACGGG
rnacentral:rRNA from 1 species